UACGGAGGGUGCAAGCGUUAAUCGGAAUUACUGGGCGUAAAGCGUGCGCAGGCGGUUUGUUAAGUUCGCUGUGAAAUCCCCGGGCUCAACCUGGGAACUGCGUUUGGUACUGGCAAGCUAGAGUACGGCAGAGGGGGGUGGAAUUCCACGUGUAGCAGUGAAAUGCGUAGAGAUGUGGAGGAACACCGAUGGCGAAGGCAGCCCCCUGGGCCGAUACUGACGCUCAGGCACGAAAGCGUGGGGAGCAAACAGG
rnacentral:rRNA from 1 species